GAUGAACGCUGGCGGCGUGCCUAAUACAUGCAAGUCGAGCGAACAGACGAUUAUCUUGCUCCUCUUACUUUAUCGUCUGACGUGUGUGUAACACGUGGCUAACCUACCUAUUAUACUUGUAUAACUUCGGGAAACCUGCUCUAAUACCGGUUAAUAUAUUUAACCGCAUUGUUCAAUAGUUCUAGUCGUUUUUGCUGUCUCUUAUCGAUUGUUCAGCGCCGCAUUAGCUAGUUGGUAAGGUAACGUCUUACCAAGGCGACGAUGCGUAGCCGACAUGAGAGGGGGAUCGGCAACACUGGAACUGAGACACGGAAAAGACGACUACGGGAGGCAGCAGUAGGGAAUAUUCCGAAAUGGGCGAAAGCCUGACGGAGCAAAGCCGAGUGAGUGAUGAAGGUCUACGGAGCGGAAAAAUCUGUUAUUAGGGAAGAAAAAAUGGGUAAGAAAAAAGGAACGGAGUGACGGUAAAGAAACAGAAAGCAACGGCUAAAUACGUG
rnacentral:rRNA from 1 species